rnacentral:lncRNA from 1 species
UUGGAAAUAGGUCUUGGGUAAGUUUUCUCCGUAUUCCCUAUUCUCUAGAAUUUCUCGCUGUACUUUAAUUAUGGGUGGGUGUUAUAUGUCGAAUGUAUGUGUGUAGUAGGAAAAUUAAUUUCCAAUAUAUUGAUUUCUUUGUUUUCUUCUAAUGUUGAUGUUCUGUUGUCUAUUUUAAUUCCAUUGAACGACAUUGUUCAUUGAGAGGUAAUUUUCUUCUUCAUGUUUUUUACAUUUGAUCUCUACUCCUUUCACUACCAUCUUUAAACGUAAGGGUGGAAUUUUUCAGGUUUCCCGGGGACAAGAGAAGAUUCGUCGGAUAUACCUCUGUAGUAUGCUUAUUUCGUAUUCCCUAUUAUCCUCCAUUUCGCACUGUUUUUCAUUCUUCUGUUUUAUCUUUGGGUGUUGUUUGUUGACUGCAAAUAUGUAUUAGAGAAUUAAUUUUGAAUCCUUUGAUUUAUUUGUUGGUUUCUCUUCAUGUUGCGUUUUGUAAUACUUGUUUCUUUCGUUUCGUUUCAGAAUAAUAUUAUUUGCUUUUAAUGAAAUUGUGUCAUAAGUUGUAAUUUUUUUAUUCUCGUUCUUACAUUUGAUCUCUGCUCUUUUCUAUACCUUCUAUAGGCGUAAGAGAGGAAUUUCAAGGUUUAUCGGGGACAAGAGAAGUUUGAUUGGAAAUAGGUCUUAGGUAAGUUUCCUCCGUAUUCCAUGUUCUCUGAAAUUUCUCGCUUUUCUUUAAUUUUCUCUUGUAUGCUUGGGUGUUAUAUGUCGAAUGUAUGUGUGUAGUAUGAAAAUUAAUUUUCAAUAUAUUGAUUUCUUUGUUUUCUUCUAAUGUUGAUGUUCUGUUGUCUAUUUUAAUUCCAUUGAACGACAUUGUUCAUUGAGAGGUAAUUUUCUUCUUCUUGUGUUUUACAUUUGAUCUCUACUCGUUUCACUACCAUCUUUAAACGUAGGGUGGAAUUUUUCAGGUUUCCCGGGGACAAGAGAAGAUUCGUCGGAGAUACCUCUGUAGUAUGCUUAUUUGGUAUUCCCUAUUAUCCUCCGUUUCGCACUGUUCUUCAUUCUUUUGUAUUAUCUUUGGGUUUUUAUUUGUUGACUGCAAAUAUGUAUUAGAGAAUUAAUUUUGAAUCCUUUGAUUUAUUUGUUGGUUUUUGAGCUUCAUGUUGCAUUUUGUAAUACACGUUUCUUUCGUUUCGUUUCAGAAUACUAUUAUUUUCUUUUAAUGAGAUUGUGCCAUAAGUUGUAAUUUUCUGAUUCUUGUUACAUUUGAUCUCUGCUCUUUUCUAUACCUUUUAUAGGCGUAAGAGUGGAAUUUCAAGGUUUAUCGGGGACAAGAGAAGUUUGAUUGGAAAUAGGUCUUGGAUAAGUUUUCUCGGUAUUCCCUAUUCUCUAGAAUUUCUCGCUGCACUUUAAUCUUCUCUUUUAUGUUUGGGUGUUAUAUGUCGAAUGUAAGUGUGUAGUAGGAAAAUUAAUUUUCAAUAUAUUGAUUUCUUUAUUUUCUUCUAAUGUUGAUGUUUUGUUGUUUAUUUUAAUUCCAUUGAAUGACAUUGUUCAUUAAGAGGUAAUUUUCUUCUUCUUGUUUUUUACAUUUGAUCUUUACUCCUUUCACUACCAUCUUUAAACGUAAGGGUGGAAUUUUUCAGGUUUCCCGGGGACAAGAGAAGAUUCGUCGGAGAUACCUCUGUAGUAUGCUUAUUUCGUAUUCCCUAUUAUCUUCCAUUUCGCACUGUUAUUCAUUCUUCUGUUUUAUCUUCGGCUGUUGUUUGUUGACUGCAAAUAUGUAUUAGAGAAUUAAUUUUGAAUCCUUUGAUUUAUUUGUUGGUUUCUGAGCUUCAUGUUGCGUUUUGAAAUACUUUUUUCUUUCGUUUCGUUUAAGAAUAAUAUUAUUUGCUUUUAAUGAAAUUUUGUCAUAAGUUGUCAUUUUCUGAUUCUCGUUCUUACAUUUGAUGUCUGCUCUUUUAUAUACGUUCUAUAGGCGUAAGAGUGGAAUUUCAAGGUUUAUCGAGGACAAGAGAAGAUUGAUUGGAAAUAGGUCUUGGGUAAGUUUUCUCCGUAUUCCCUAUUCUCUAGAAUUUCUCGCUGUACUUUAAUUUUCUCUUUUAUGGGUGGGUGUUAUAUGUCGAAUGUCUGUGUGUAGUAGGAAAAUUAAUUUCCAAUAUAUUGAUUUCUUUGUUUUCUUCUAAUGUUGAUGUUCUGUUGUCUAUUUUAAUUCCAUUGAACGACAUUGUUCAUUGAGAGGUUAUUUUCUUCUUCUUGUUUUUUACAUUUGAUCUCUACUCCUUUCACUACCAUCUUUAAACGUAAAGGUCGAAUUUUUCAGGUUUCCCGGGGAAAAGAGAGGAUUCGUCGGAGAUACCUCUGUAGUAUGCUUAUUUGGUAUUCCCUAUUAUCCUCCGUUUCGCACUGUUCUUCAUUCUUUUGUAUUAUCUUUGGGUGUUGUUUGUUGACUGCAAAUAUGUAUUAGAGAAUUAAUUUUGAAUCCAUUGAUUUAUUUGUUGGUUUUUGAGCUUCAUGUUGCAUUUUGUAAUACACGUUUCUUUCGUUUCAUUUCAGAAUACUAUUAUUUUCUUUUAAUGAGAUUGUGUCAUAAGUUGUAAUUUUCUGAUUCUUGUUACAUUUGAUCUCUGCUCUUUUCUAUACCUUGUAUAGGCGUAAGAGUGGAAUUUCAAGGUUUAUCGGGGACAAGAGAAGUUUGAUUGGAAAUAGGUCUUAGGUAAGUUUCCUCUGUAUUCCAUAUUCUCUGAAAUUUCUCGCUUUUCUUUAAUUUUCUGUUGUAUGCUUGGGUGUUAUAUGUCGAAUGUAUGUGGGAACUAGGAAAGUUAAUUUUAAGUAUCUUGAUCUCUUUGUUUUCUUCUAAUGUUGAUGUUCUGUUAUCUAUUAGAAAUUUCAUUAGUUUCGUUUGGAAAUAAUUUUAAUUCCAAUGAACGACAUUGUUCAUUAAGAGGUAAUUUUCUCCUUCUCUUUUUUUACAAUUGAUCUCUACUCCUUUCACUACCAUCUAUAAACGUAAGCCUGGAAUUUUUCAGGUUUCCCUGGGACAAGAGAGAAUUCGUUGGGGAUACCUCUGUAGUAUGUUUAUUUCAUAUUCCCUAUUAUCCUCCAUUUCGCACUGUUCUUCAUGCUUCUGUUUUAUCUUUGGGUGUUGUUUGUUGACUGCAUAUAAGUAUUAGAGAAUUAAUUUUGAAUCCUUUGAUUUAUUUGUUGGUUUCUGAGCUUCAUGUUGCGUUUUGUAAUACUCGUUUCUAUUGUUUCGUUUCAGAAUAAUAUUAUAUCCUUUUAAUGAGAUUGCGCCAUAAGUUGUAAUUUUAUUAUUCUCGUUCUUACAUUUGAUGUCUGCUCUUUUCUAUACCUUCUAUAGACGUAAGAGUGGAAUUUCAAGGUUUAUCGGGGACAAGAGAAGAUUGAUUGGAAAUAGGUCUUGGGUAUGUUUUCUCCGUAUUCCCUAUUCUCUAGAAUUUCUCGCUGUACUUUAAUCUUCUCUUUUAUGUUUGGGUGUUAUAUGUCGAAUGUACGUGUGUAGUAGGAAAAUUAAUUUUCAAUAUAUCGAUUUCUUUGUUUUCUUCUAAUGUUGAUGUUCUGUUGUCUAUUUUAAUUCCAUUGAACGACAUUGUUCAUUCAGAGGUAAUUUUCUUCUUCUUGUUUUUUACAUUUGAUCUCUACUCCUUUCACUACCAUCUUUAAACGUAAGGGUGGAAUUUUUCAGGUUUCCCGGGGACAAGAGAAGAUUCGUCGGAGAUACCUCUGUAGUAUGCUUAUUUCGUAUUCCCAAUUAUCCUCCAUUUCGCACACUUCUUCAUUCUUUUGUAUUAUCUUUGGGUGUUGUUUGUUGACUGCAAAUAUGUAUUAGAGAAUUAAUUUUGAAUCCUUUGAUUUAUUUGUUGGUGUCUGAGCUUCAUGUUGCGUUUUGUAAUACUGAUUUCUUUCGUUUCGUUUCAGAAUAAAAUUAUUUGCUUUAAAUGAAAUUGUGCCAUCAAUUGUAAUCUUCUGAUUCUCGUUCUUACAUUUGAUGUCUGCUCUUUUCUAUACCUUCUAUAGGCGUAAGAGUGGAAUUUCAAGGUUUAUCGGGGACAAGAGAAGUUUGAUUGGUAAUACGUCUUGGGUAAGUUUUCUCCGUAUUCCCUAUUCUCUAGAAUUUGUCGCUGUACUUUAAUUUUCUCUUUUAUGUGUGGUUGUUAUAUGUCGAAUGUAUGUGUGUAGUAGGAAAAUUAAUUUUCAAUAUAUCGAUUUCUUUGUUUUCUUCUAAUGUUGAUGUUCUGUUGUCUAUUUUAAUUCCAUUGAACGACAUUGUUCAUUCAGAGGUAAUUUUCUUCUUCUUGUUUUUUACAUUUGAUCUCUACUCCUUUCACUACCAUCUUUAAACGUAAGGAUGGAAUUUUUCAGGUUUCCCGGGGACAAGAGAAGAUUCGUCGGAGAUACCUCUGUAGUAUGCUUAUUUCGUAUUCCCAAUUAUCCUCCAUUUCGUACACUUCUUCAUUCUUUUGUAUUAUCUUUGGGUGUUGUUUGUUGACUGCAAAUAUGUAUUAGAGAAUUAAUUUUGAAUCCUUUGAUUUAUUUGUUGGUUUCUGAGCUUCAUGUUGCGUUUUGUAAUACUGAUUUCUUUCGUUUCGUUUCAGAAUAAAAUUAUUUGCUUUAAAUGAAAUUGUGCCAUCAAUUGUAAUCUUCUGAUUCUCGUUCUUACAUUUGAUGUCUGCUCUUUUCUAUACCUUCUAUAGGCGUAAGAGUGGAAUUUCAAGGUUUAUCGGGGACAAGAGAAGUUUGAUUGGUAAUACGUCUUGGGUAAGUUUUCUCCGUAUUCCCUAUUCUCUAGAAUUUAUCGCUGUACUUUAAUUUUCUCUUUUAUGUGUGGGUGUUAUAUGUCGAAUGUAUGUGUGUAGUAGGAAAAUUAAUUUUCAAUAUAUUGAUUUCUUUGUUUUCUUCUAAUGUUGAUGUUCUGUUAUCUAUUUUAAUUCCAUUGAACGACAUUGUUCAUUGAGAGGUAAUUUUCUUCUUCUUGUUUUUUACAUUUGAUCUCUACUCCUUUCACUACCAUUUUUAAAAACAAGGGUGGAAUUUUUCAGGUUUCCUUGGGACAAGAGAAGAUUCGUCGGAUAUACCUCUGUAGUAUGUUUAUUUCGUAUUGCCUAUUAUCAUCUAUUUCGCACACUUCUUCAUUCUUGUGUAUUAUCUUUGGGUGUUGUUUGUUGACUGCAAAUAUGUAUUAGAGAAUUAAUUUUGAAUCCUUUGAUUUAUUUGUUUGUUUCUGAGCUUCAUGUUGCGUUUUGUAAUACUGAUUUCUUUCGUUUCAAUUCAGAAUAAUAUUAUUUGCUUUUAAUGAAAUUGUGCCAUCAGUUGUAAUUUUCUUAUUCUCGUUCUUACAUUUGAUGUCUGCUCUUUUCUCUACCUUUUAUAGGCGUAACAGUGGAAUUUCAAUGUUUAUCGGGGACAAGAGAAGUUUGAUUGGAAAUAGGUCUUAGGUAAGUUUCCUCUGUAUUCCAUGUUCUCUGAAAUUUCUCGCUUUUCUUUAAUUUUCUCUUGUAUGCUUGGGUGUUAUAUGUCGAAUGUAUGUGUGUAGUAGGAAAAUUAAUUUUCUAUAUAUUGAUUUCUUUGUUUUCUUCUAAUGUCGAUGUUCUGUUGUCUAUUUUAAUUCCAUUGAACGACCUUGUUCAUUAAGAGGUAAUUUUCUUCUUCUUGUUUUUUACAUUUGAUCUCUACUGCUUUCACUACAAUCAUUAAACGUAAGGGUGGAAUUUUUCAGGUUUCUCGGGUCAAGAGAAGAUUCGUCGGAGAUACCUCUGUAGUAUGCUUAUUUCGUAUUCCCUAUUAUCCUCCAUUUUGCACUGUUCUUCAUUCUUCUGUUUUAUCUUUGGGUGUUGUUUGUUGACUGCAAAUAUGUAUUAGAGAAUUAAUUUUGGAUCCUUUGAUUUAUUUGUUGGUUUUUGAGUUUCAUGUUGCGUUUUGUAAUACUGGUUUCUUUCGUUUCGUUUCAGAAUAAUAUUAUUUGCUUUUAAUGAAAUUGUGUCAUAAGUUGUAAUUUUUUUAUUCUCGUUCUUACAUUUGAUCUCUGCUCUUUUCUAUACCUUCUAUAGGCGUAAGAGAGGAAUUUCAAGGUUUAUCGGGGACAAGAGAAGUUUGAUUGGAAAUAGGUCUUAGGUAAGUUUCCUCCGUAUUCCAUGUUCUCUGAAAUUUCUCGCUUUUCUUUAAUUUUCUCUUGUAUGCUUGGGUGUUAUAUGUCGAAUGUAUGUGUGUAGUAUGAAAAUUAAUUUUCAAUAUAUUGAUUUCUUUGUUUUCUUCUAAUGUUGAUGUUCUGUUGUCUAUUUUAAUUCCAUUGAACGACAUUGUUCAUUGAGAGGUAAUUUUCUUCUUCAUGUUUUUUACAUUUGAUCUCUACUCC